AGGCCGAUAAUGUCUCAGCUUCAACCACCACAUGUGCGCUCAUGUCUUGUUGUUGAUGCACCAAACACUUCCACUGCAAGCCUGUCCUGAACUGACUUUUCUCCAUUUUAAAGAAGACUUGUCGGUUGUUGAAAAUCACUUUGUCCACGUGACGUUCUGGGUGAACGUAUCGACCUGUAACGAGAAGAAUACUUCACACAGAAUACUUGUUCACACCAGGACGAAGACCGGAAGUCUAGAGUAUGACGGGACGAUUAUCUACUGGAGAGACUCGUGUACUGAGAGACCAGAGAAGUCAGUUCAGUGCAUCAGCCCAACAGGUCCAGCAGAGCUGAAUAGAACAGUGAACCGCUCUCACAUGCAGAUUGAGUGGGAGUUGAUUUCUACACACUCUGAUUCUCCUACCUUCAUACGAACGAAUCUGACUGUGUUGUAUCCACCCAAAGUCUCAAGCUUCACUAUAGAUAAAAAUGAGGCCAAUGGCAACUAUCUUAUUAAUGAAGGAAAAGCAGUUGACAUUUCCUGCUCGUUUGACAAGGGAAACCCUCAAACUGUCUUCUUCCUGUUGGAUAAAACUGGGAAAGAAAUAAAUACUUCUAGAUCAGAAGAACAACUCACACAUUCCCUGACCGUCAGAUGUCAGGAUGACUGGCCAAUUGUUGGAUGUGAAGGAGCCGGUUCAGAAAAGAACACAUCAGUGACACUUCUUGCCAAGUGUCGUCCUCAGUUUCUUGACAGGUAUCCGAGGGUUGUAGUCAGCGGAAUAUACGAAAACUGGGUGUUCAACAUAAAGUCCCACACUACAGUCGUAGAGAAAUGUCUUUUGUGGUCGUUGCCAUCUGGAAACAAUUUAAGCAGUAAAGUGAACUGUAACCUUUUGGGGGAUCCGCCUAUCCUGCUGCUGACUGUCGCCAUUUUAGGAAACGCCAGUACUAAAGAGAAAAUCUGGUCCUUAGGUCUCUAUGUUGAAGGAGGUUUUUCAGAGACAUUAGUCUUCACCAAGCAUUUAGGCGAGUAUCUUCAGCACGUUAAGUAUCUCUGGGUUAAUAAUAUUUACCCACUGCUAGACAAAACAAUAUUCUUUAACCUCAUUGUCACUCACACACACACACACACACACAGAUACAAACUGUAUUUUUCAGAGAAACUUGUCAAGAUUUUCGUACUCAGUUUGCAAUAGGAGUGCUUAUCUUGACUCGUAUUUGCAUAUUAGGCGACUUGUUCGGACAAAUUUUACAAUACACCCCGAAAAGAUGAGGGUUUUGUCUCCGUACAUAACGUUUCGGUGUGGGUGUGGGUGUACCUGAGGACGUGUGUGAACGCACAUUCGUCUUUGUCUUCUGUUCUUGCCGAUUCGAAAAGAAGUUGCUUACUUAGCAUUAAAGAAACCAGUUUUAUACGCCAACAAAAAGAUGAUCAGAAAAAUAAGAACGGUAAUAAGCUUCAUAAGCUCAACAUGAUGCCUUUUAAUUCUGCUACACUUUGCAGAGAAAAAACAUUUGUGAGUCAGAGUCAGUCAAGAGGAUCCAUUUAUUCCGUAUAUGAAAUUUUUGCUGUCAAUGGGUAUUUCCCAUGUCAUCCACAAAUAGUGGACACGAGUAAACUCGGCUAUUGAAAACGAAAGUAAAGAAAUAUCCAAACGAUCAGGAAAUACUGUUCAAGAGUUCAUGAUGACCGUCAGAAAUUUCUCUGAAAAUUAACUAUAGGAAUAGACACUGUUGAACACAAACAGCUGUUGUUGCAGAUUUAUAUAGAACAUAAACGAGCAAUCGACAUUUGAGCCUGUGCUACCACUGCCAAGAAUGUGUGAAGACAAACGCAAUUGAAUGAUGGACAUUUGUAUCAGCUGUUACACAGAGUCGGCAUUAGAAGGCUAAAGGUGUGGCUAGUUUCGGACGAUCUCAAUGGUAGGCCUGUGCGAGUUAAAUUUCGAAAGAAAAGACGCCAGGAAAGCUAAAUUUCCCAGAAAAUGUUGUUCAUUGAUUCCUAAUCAACCAAAGCUAUAAGAAAUUAAACUAUUUUGAUUUGAAUUUCCAGGUCAUGGGCAGUGGACUAGGGCAAAGGUCUUUUUGCCUCUCAGAGGUUUGGCUGUUGUACUUAUCUUGUACCACGUAUUUAUUUGUUCCUGCUAUUUUUCAUGUCUGAUUAAAAUAGUCGAAACAAGCACAAAUGAAAACUGAAAGCGAAAAAAAGCAAAGAAAAGUGAAAGAAAAAACAAUGAAAGGAAGAAACAAAGGAAAGCAAUGAGACCAUUGUUUCUUUUUGAAACUUUAAAACCUAAUGAUAACAUCUUCCUUCCAGAAGAACGCUGGUUGUGUUUUAUGCUUUUUACUUGUUAACAAAAUAUGUUUUAUAUGUCUGCCAUACACUUGAAGAAUUUAAAUGUGUUUUUGGAGACAAGGUCUUCUCAUACUUUACGAAAAUGAACAUACCUUUCAUUGACUCUCAGGCUUACAGAUCUUGGCUUGUAUGAUUCUCACGUGAUACGAUGUCUGUG
rnacentral:misc_RNA from 1 species